GAUGAACGCUAGCUACAGGCUUAACACAUGCAAGUCGAGGGGCAGCACAGUGUAGCAAUUCACGGGUGGCGACCGGCGCACGGGUGCGUAACACGUAUCCAAUCUGCCCGUUACUCGGGGAUAGCCUCCUGAAAGGAAGUUUAAUACCCGAUGGCAUGUAUUUCCGGCAUCGGAGAUGCAUCAAAGAUUUAUCGGGAACGGAUGGGGGUGCGUACGAUUAGCUAGUUGGGGGGGUAAGGGCCCACCAAGGCGACGAUCGUUAGGGGUACUGAGAGCAAAGUCCCCCACACUGGAACUGAGACACGGUCCAGACUCCUACGGGAGGCAGCAGUGAGGAAUAUUGGUCAAUGGUCGAGAGACUGAACCAGCCAAGUAGCGUGAAGGAUGACUGCCCUACGGGUUGUGAACUUCUUUUGUUUGGGAAUAAAGUGAGGCACGUGUGCCUUUUUGUAUGUACCUUACGAAUAAGCAUCGGCUAAUUCCGUGCCAGCCGCCGCAGUAACAC
rnacentral:rRNA from 1 species